rnacentral:rRNA from 1 species
GACGAACGCUGGCGGCGUGCCUAAUACAUGCAAGUAGAACGCUGAAGAGAGGAGCUUGCUCUUCUUGGAUGAGUUGCGAACGGGUGAGUAACGCGUAGGUAACCUGCCUUGUAGCGGGGGAUAACUAUUGGAAACGAUAGCUAAUACCGCAUAACAAUGGAUGACACAUGUCAUUUAUUUGAAAGGGGCAAUUGCUCCACUACAAGAUGGACCUGCGUUGUAUUAGCUAGUAGGUGAGGUAAUGGCUCACCUAGGCGACGAUACAUAGCCGACCUGAGAGGGUGAUCGGCCACACUGGGACUGAGACACGGCCCAGACUCCUACGGGAGGCAGCAGUAGGGAAUCUUCGGCAAUGGGGGCAACCCUGACCGAGCAACGCCGCGUGAGUGAAGAAGGUUUUCGGAUCGUAAAGCUCUGUUGUAAGUCAAGAACGGGUGUGAGAGUGGAAAGUUCACACUGUGACGGUAGCUUACCAGAAA